CCUACGUGAGGCUGCAGUCGAGAAUCAUUCACAAUGGGGGAAACCCUGAUGGUGCGACGCCGCGUGGGGGAAUGAAGGUCUUCGGAUUGUAAACCCCUGUCAUGUGGGAGCAAAUUAAAAAGAUAGUACCACAAGAGGAAGAGACGGCUAACUCUGUGUCAGCAGCCGCGGUACUACAGAGGUCUCAAGCGUUGUUCGGAAUCACUGGGCGUAAAGCGUGCGUAGGCUGUUUCGUAAGUCGUGUGUGAAAGGCGCGGGCUCAACCCGCGGACGGCACAUGAUACUGCGAGACUAGAGUAAUGGAGGGGGAAGCGGAAUUCUCGGUGUAGCAGUGAAAUGCGUAGAUAUCGGGAGGAACACUCGUGGCGAAGGCGGGUUCCUGGACAUUAACUGACGCUGAGGCACGAAGGCCAGGGGAGCGAAAGGGAUUAGAUACCCCAGUAGUC
rnacentral:rRNA from 1 species